rnacentral:misc_RNA from 1 species
AUUUAAGCUUUAUGUGAGAGCGAGAUUGACACAAGUUGAAUCUUUAAAUCACUCCAUUCUCCCCAAGAGGUUGUGGAAGCCUUAGUUCAUGAAUAGUCUUGGGUUUUUACACGAAGGACGACUGCACAGGCUCGAAAAGUUAUAUAAAUGUGAAAAGACCUUGAUUUUAUUGUACUUAAAUGAAAUUCAUUUACGUUGAAUGUGCUUUGUCACGUUGUUCGCGUUUUUAUAACAGAUUCCCAACCUCCAAAUGAAGAAUAUCUCUGUUAUUGAUUUUCACGGUAUUUUGUCUAUGAAUACAAUUUUAUCUUGUAUUUUGUGCGAAGUUAUUUGAAAACUCAGCUCUUCGAAUUUUUAAUUAUCUAUCUAUCUCUUUGAAAACUACUUACCUUUGCCAUAAGAGUACUUCUACUCAAUUUACAUGCAUCUAUUUGAUUGAAUUAACUCCUUAAAUCCAUUUAAAAUUUCACUAGGACAAUUCUCUGGUGGACAUCUAGAGCUGCGGCUCAACAAGUUAUACGAUGGUGUCGAAACUCUUGUUUUAUUCAUUGGCCACGCUCGUAGUGGUCAUAGUCUCAUCGGAGCCAUUUUGGAUGCUCACCCAGAGAUUAUCAUUCCUCACGAAUAUAAUUUGAUAGUAAAGUGGAGUGAAUUCAAACUGAAAAGCGGCAGUGGGCUAAAGACCCGUGUCCUUUUUGCCCUGCACGCCUUGUCACGAUUUCAAGCAAUGUUUGGAAACCGUGCAGCAUCACGCCGUAGCGGUGGUGGGUAUAGUUACUCUGUACCUGGACAGUGGCAGGGAACGUAUAAAGAAAGAGUAAAGAAACCCGUUUGACAAUAUUGCCACUAAAUUGCUGAGAAAUCUCGAGGUCAGGGACAUGGCUAAAAGCAGCACAUUUAAAGUAAGUUUCUUGUAACUUUCGAAAAACUCAUAGUUAAUUAGUUUUGUCCGGUAGUCUUAGAUCCCAUUCACACCAAAACUUAAACAUGUAUUAAAGCUUUUUAGUUGAAGUCUGUUAUAUUUUUUUCUUAUUCGUAUAGGCUGCAUAAAGCGACGCUUGUUGACUUCAAAGUGACACAUUGAAAAUACAAGUAAACGAUUAUUUGAAUUUUAUGGAACAUUCUGUGAAACUAAACUUUUUUUGCUGGGGUGAAUGUGAUUUAGACUUCUUGUAUCUUCUUUCUAAAAAUUAUUGCACCUUCGAAGGGGUGAGACUAUCUGUCAUAUACAGUUUACAUGUAUUUCAAGACCUUUAACCUUUCCUCUUUUGAAAAUUACGGGAAAUAUGCCAAUUUUGUCAGUGCAACUGUAAUUAAGUAGUAUUAAAAUUUGUUUUGAAAAAAUGUCUUGCUUGUUUUGUUUCGCAGGCAAGCAAUGUAACCUUGUUGGAUAAAAUUAUCGACGACUUUUUCGCCAAAGUAAAGUCCGCUGAGAGACUGAAACGAUAUGGGAAGUUCGAAGUACUAGAUGUCUACGGUCAUGAAGUUAUUUCCAAACCCCGUGAAAGUCUGCAAAACCUAUGCAACUUUCUAAAAGUAGCCUGUUAUCCAGACUUUGUCGAAUCUGCCUCAGAACUACUGUACGCUAAGCCGUCGUUGACGAGACAUGCGGUCGCGUGGACUUCAAAACAGAAGGAAAGAAUUAUGAACGAGAUGAACAAGUACUCUUUUCUGGAGCGUUUUUCUUUUGAUAGUGAUUCUAAAUAAUUAUAAAUUUUCUUUUAAUGGAUGAGUGUUGAUGAAGCUUAAAGCGUUCAUACUCUGUAUAGAAGAGAACAGUACUCUUUGCAAAAAAUUUCAUCUUGGACUCAAACGAGCAACAUCAGACCGUGUUUGAGAUAAGCAUCAAAGUCUUCUGGUGACACUAAUUAAAAAGCUUUAUUUCUGGAUUUCCUUCA